rnacentral:rRNA from 1 species
AUGGCUCUAGGUUCACCUACCCUCACUCUCAAAGCGGCCACCAUUGCCGCCAUGCUUGCCAUGAUGAUCCUUCCGAUCGUAGGGCGCUCCCCGUCGUUGGGCCAAGAAGAACUAGUAACGACCCCGACACCAGCAUCGGAGCCGGCGCGUGCGAUGCGGUGCAGCGAGUGUGGCCCGCACUGCACGGAGAUGUGCAGAGUCUCCGUUCCCCCCAAGUGCCGCAAGUACUGUGACGUCCCCAGCUACGAGGACUGCCGGUCUGCCGCGAUCGGCAAGUGCAGGGCCGGCUGCACCACUGGUAGCUGCAACUGUGAUGGCGAGGCGACCCAGUCAUGCUAUGGCUCUUGCUCUGGUAGUUCUUCGUGUGCGGACUGCAUGAGGCUAACUAGUGAGCAGUGCACGAGUGACUGCAACGGCAAGUGCGCCACCACCUGUACGAACAAAAUCAAGGACGGCAAAUAG